GUGGCUGUUCUUCAGGAGUUGCAUUAUCGAGUUAAUAUAGUGUAGCUGGAACAUGCCACACACAUUAAAGAUGGUUCCCACCGACGAGCCCUCUGGAGUUGCCAGGGUUUCUGUGCGAUGGUUCCUAACAUC